AAUCGAACCCGGAGAUAGCUGGUUCUCCUCGAAAUAGCUUUAGGGCUAGCCUCGAUACAGAUUUGCGGAGGUAGAGCACUGAAUUUCCUAGGGGGCGUCAAAGCCUACCGAAGAAUAUCAAACUCCGAAUGCCGCGUAAUCGAUUAUCGGGAGUCAGACUGCACGAGAUAAGUUGGGCGGUCAAAAGGGAAAGAGCCCAGACCUUCAGUUAAGGUCCCCAAGUGCGCGUUAAGUGGAAAAGGAUGUGGGAUUUCGAAGACAACCAGGAUGUUGGCUCAGAAGCAGCCAUCCAUUCAAAGAGUGCGUAAUAGCUCACUGGUCGAGAGGUCCUGCGCCGAAAAUGUCCGGGGCUGAAACGCGCCACCGAAACUAAGGAACCGAAAGGUUGGUAGAGGAGCAUUGCAUGCGGAACGAAGCAGUACCGUAAGGAGCUGUGGACUGCAUGGAAGAGAGAAUGCCGGAAUGAGUAGCGAGAUAGAGGUGGGAAUCCUCUAGGCCGAAUAUCCAAGGUUUCCAGAGUAAAGCUGAUCUGCUCUGGGUAAGUCGGGGCCUAAGGCGAGGACGAGAGUCGUAGCCGAUGGACAACAGGUGGAGAUUCCUGUACUGCGGUAUGACAGAACUGUGGGGACACGUAAGGAAAGCGGAAGCCGGGAAUGGAAAGCCCGGUGCAAGCGGGGUACCAGUCACUUUGGCAAAUCCGGGUGGCAAUGGGAAGCCGUGAUGCGGAGUGAAAUAAAGUAACGAAGUCCGUGAGCCAUGCGUCAAGAAAAGCCGCUAUUGUUUAUACCGUACCCGUACCGUAAACCGACACAGGUGGAUGAGGAGAGAAUCCUAAGGCCGGCGGAAGAAGCAUUGUCAAGGAACUCGGCAAAAUGGCCCCGUAACUUAGGGAUAAGGGGUGCCUGGGAAACCAGGCCGCAGAGAAUAGGCUCAAGCAACUGUUUAGCAAAAACACAGGUCUAUGCGAAACCGAAAGGUGAGGUAUAUGGGCUGACGCCUGCCCGGUGCUGGAAGGUUAAGAGGAGAGGUUAGCGCAAGCGAAGCUUUGAAUUUAAGCCCCAGUAAACGGCGGCCGUAACUAUAACGGUCCUAAGGUAGCGAAAUUCCUUGUCGGGUAAGUUCCGACCCGCACGAAAGGCGUAAUGAUUUGAGCGCUGUCUCGACAAUGCAUCCGGUGAAAUUGAAGUACCAGUGAAGAUGCUGGUUACCUGCGCCAGGACGGAAAGACCCCAUGGAGCUUUACUCCAGUCUGGUACUGGGACUCGGUAUUGCAUGUACAGGAUAGGUGGGAGGCUAGGAGAUGGUAACGCCAGUUGCCAUGGAGCCGCUGUUGGGAUACCACCCUUGCAGUAUUGGGUUUCUAACCAGCCGCCGUGACCCGGCGGUGGGACAAUGCCAGACGGGGAGUUUGACUGGGGCGGUCGCCUCCGAAAGGGUAUCGGAGGCGCCCAAAGGUUCCCUCAGAAUGGACGGAAACCAUUCGAAGAGUGCAAAGGCAGAAGGGAGCUUGACUGCGACACCGACGGGUGGAGCAGGUACGAAAGUAGGACUUAGUGAUCCGGUGGUAUGAAAGUGGGAUUGCCAUCGCUCAACGGAUAAAAGCUACCCUGGGGAUAACAGGCUUAUCACUCCCAAGAGUUCACAUCGACGGAGUGGUUUGGCACCUCGAUGUCGGCUCAUCGCAUCCUGGGGCUGUAGUAGGUCCCAAGGGUUGGGCUGUUCGCCCAUUAAAGCGGUACGCGAGCUGGGUUCAGAACGUCGUGAGACAGUUCGGUCCCUAUCCGGCGUGGGCGUAGGAUAUCUGAGAGGAGCUGUCCUUAGUACGAGAGGACCGGGAUGGACGGGCCGCUGGUGCAUCGGUUAGACUGCCAAGUCUACGGCCGAGUAGCCAAGCCCGGAAGGGAUAAACGCUGAAGGCAUCUAAGCGUGAAGCCCCCCUUAAGAUGAGAUAUCCCAUUCGUUAAGAAGUAAACCCCCUUGA
rnacentral:rRNA from 1 species